AGUGAACGCUGGCGGUAGGCCUAACACAUGCAAGUCGAACGGCAGCACAGUAAGAGCUUGCUCUUACGGGUGGCGAGUGGCGGACGGGUGAGGAAUACAUCGGCAUCUACUUUUUCGUGGGGGAUAACGUAGGGAAACUUACGCUAAUACCGCAUACGACCUACGGGUGAAAGCAGGGGAUCUUCGGACCUUGCGCGAUUGAAUGAGCCGAUGUCGGAUUAGCUAGUUGGCGGGGUAAAGGCCCACCAAGGCGACGAUCCGUAGCUGGUCUGAGAGGAUGAUCAGCCACACUGGAACUGAGACACGGUCCAGACUCCUACGGGAGGCAGCAGUGGGGAAUAUUGGGCAAUGGGCGCAAGCCUGAUCCAGCCAUACCGCGUGAGUGAAGAAGGCCUUCGGGUUGUAAAGCCCUUUUGUUGGGAAAGAAAAGCAGCAGGUUAAUACCCCGCUGUUCUGACGGUACCCAAAGAAUAAGCACCGGCUAACUUCGUG
rnacentral:rRNA from 1 species